AUCCGUUUGACGAGUUCCAAAUGGGACGAAACGCGCGUCCUGGAU
rnacentral:hammerhead_ribozyme from 1 species